UGGGUCCGGCAUAACCCCGGGAAACUGGGGAUAAUUCCGGAUAACGCAUAUGUGCUGGAAUGCUUUAUGCGUCAAAUGGAUUCGUCCGCCCAAGGAUGGGUCUGCGGCCUAUCAGGUAGUAGUGGGUGUAAUGUACCUACUAGCCGACAACGGGUACGGGUUGUGAGAGCAAGAGCCCGGAGAUGGAUUCUGAGACAUGAAUCCAGGCCCUACGGGGCGCAGCAGGCGCGAAAACUUUACAAUGCGGGAAACCGUGAUAAGGGGACACCGAGUGUCAGCAUCAUAUGCUGGCUGUCCAGGUGUGUAAAAUACACCUGUUAGCAAGGGCCGGGCAAGACCGGUGCCAGCCGCCGCGGUAACACCGGCGGCCCGAGUGGUGAUCGCGAUUAUUGGGUCUAAAGGGUCCGUAGCCGGUUUGGUCAGUCCUCCGGGAAAUCUGAUAGCUCAACUAUUAGGCUAUCGGGGGAUACUACCAGACUUGGAACCGGGAGAGGUAAGAGGUACUACAGGGGUAGGAGUGAAAUCUUGUAAUCCCUGUGGGACCACCUGUGGCGAAGGCGUCUUACCAGAACGGGUUCGACGGUGAGGGACGAAAGCUGGGGGCACGAACCGGAUUAGAUACCCGGGUAGUCCCAGCCGUAAACGAUGCUCGCUAGGUGUCAGGCAUGGCGCGACCGUGUCUGGUGCCGCAGGGAAGCCG
rnacentral:rRNA from 1 species